CCCUCUUCUUCCCUCUUUUUUCUUCCUUCUUUUUCUUCCCUCUCCUUUCUUCUUCUCUUUCCUUCUUUUUUUCCCUCCUUCCUCUUCCCUUCCUCCUUUCUUUCGAAACUGCAUGGCUUGAGUACGGGAGGGGAGAGUGGAACUUCUGGUGGAGCAGUGAAAUGCGUAGAUAUCAGAAGGAACGCCGGCGGCGAAAGCGACUCUCUGGUCCGAAACUGACGCUGAGUGUGCGAAAGCUAGGGGAGCAAACGG
rnacentral:rRNA from 1 species